CCUACGGGGGGCAGCAGGGAGGAAUAUUGGUCAAUGGCCGGAAGGCUGAACCAGCCAAGUCGCGGGAAGGAAGAAGGAUCUAUGGGUUGUAAAAUUCAUUUAUAGGGGAAUAAAGGUAUCCACGUGUGGAGAUUUGCAUGUACCCUAUGAAUAAGCAUCGGCUAACUCCGUGCCAGCAGCCGCGGUAAUACGGAGGAUGCGAGCGUUAUCCGGAUUUAUUGGGGUGAAAGGGUGCGUAGGUGGUUUUUGAAGUCAGCGGUGAAAGUUUGUGGCUCAACCAGAAAAUUGCCGUUGAAACGGGCAGUCUUGUGUGUGUUUGAGGUCGGCUGCCUGCGUUGUUUAGCGGU
rnacentral:rRNA from 1 species